rnacentral:rRNA from 1 species
UACGGAGGGUGCAAGCGUUAAUCGGAAUUACUGGGCGUAAAGCGCGCGUAGGCGGUUAUCUAAGUCAGAUGUGAAAGCCCCCGGGCUCAACCUGGGAAUUGCAUUUGAUACUGGAUGGCUAGAGUGUGGUAGAGGUGAGUGGAAUUUCAGGUGUAGCGGUGAAAUGCGUAGAGAUCUGAAGGAACAUCAGUGGCGAAGGCGACUCACUGGGGCCAUUACUGACGCUGAGGUGCGAAAGCGUGGGUAGCAAACAGG